rnacentral:rRNA from 1 species
UACAGAGGUCUCAAGCGUUGUUCGGAUUCAUUGGGCGUAAAGGGUGCGUAGGUGGCGGGGUAAGUCAGGUGUGAAAUUUCGGAGCUUAACUCCGAAACUGCAUUUGAUACUGCCUUGCUUGAGGACUGGAGAGGAGACUGGAAUUCACGGUGUAGCAGUGAAAUGCGUAGAUAUCGUGAGGAAGACCAGUGGCGAAGGCGGGUCUCUGGACAGUUCUUGACGCUGAGGCGCGAAAGCCAGGGGAGCAAACGGG